rnacentral:siRNA from 1 species
CAAUGGCUGCCACUGGCUUAUU